CCUAUUGGAUGACAAUUUUCACAUCUCCCGCUUCCCCCUCCAAAGAGUUCUACUUGUCCAAUUCUGAAAAGGAACGUUAUGAAAAAGAAUUCAGCCAAGAAAGACAACAAGAAAUUUUGAGAAGAGCAGCAAGAGCUUUACCUAUCUAUACCACAUCAGCUUCAAAAACUAUCAGAUAUUGUGAAAAAUGUCAGCUGAUUAAACCUGAUCGGGCACAUCACUGCUCAGCAUGUGACUCAUGUAUUCUUAAGAUGGAUCAUCACUGUCCUUGGGUGAAUAACUGUGUGGGAUUUUCUAAUUACAAAUUCUUCCUGCUGUUUUUAUUGUAUUCCCUAUUAUAUUGCCUUUUUGUGAAUGAACUGACAGAUACACGUGCAAAAUUCCACGUACUUUUUCUUUUCUUUGUGUCUGCAAUGUUCUUCAUCAGCGUCCUCUCACUUUUCAGCUACCACUGCUGGCUAGUUGGAAAAAAUAGAACAACGAUAGAAUCAUUCCGCGCACCCACGUUUUCAUACGGACCUGAUGGAAACGGUUUCUCUCUUGGAUGCAGUAAAAAUUGGAGACAAGUCUUUGGUGAUGAAAAGAAAUAUUGGCUACUUCCAAUAUUUUCAAGCUUGGGUGAUGGUUGCAGUUUUCCAACUCGCCUUGUGGGGAUGGAUCCAGAACAAGCUUCUGUUACAAACCAGAAUGAAUAUGCCAGAAGUAGUGGCUCAAAUCAGCCUUUUCCUAUCAAACCACUUAGUGAAUCAAAAAACCGCUUGUUGGACAGUGAAUCUCAGUGGCUGGAGAAUGGAGCUGAAGAAGGCAUCGUCAAAUCAGGUGUAUGAAAACAUUAUAGACUGAUAUUUUCAAUUUUCAUUUGCAAGAAAAUGAUCAAAGGAAUGAAAUAAUUGAAGUAUAACAGAAGUUAUAUUUUUUAAAACAGAAAGCCUUUGUACAGUUUCUGGGAUUCACAG
rnacentral:sRNA from 1 species